GGUGGUGGCAGAAUCAAACACCCCAGAAGAGACUCCAGAGGAGGAGUUUUAUGCCUAUGUGGAACUUCAGACUGAGUUGUACACCUUUGGUCUGUCUGAUGACAAUGUGGUUUUCACUAGCGAUUAUAUGACUGUGUGGAUGAUUGACAUUCCCAAAUCUUAUGUGGAUGUGGGCAUGCUCACACGAGCAACUUUCCUGGAGCAGUGGCCGGGUGCCAAAGUGACUGUCAUGAUUCCCUACUCCUCCACCUUUACCUGGUGUGGAGAGCUUGGCGCCAUCUCUGAAGAAUCUGCCCCACAACCAAGUUUGAGUGCCAGAUCCCCGGUCUGUAAGAACAGUGCCAGAUAUUCUACCUCAAAAUUUUGCGAGGUAGAUGGAUGCACAGCUGAAACUGGCAUGGAAAAGAUGUCUCUGCUCACUCCAUUUGGAGGCCCACCUCAACAGGCUAAGAUGAACACUUGCCCAUGCUACUACAAGUACAGCGUGAGCCCACUGCCUGCCAUGGACCACUUGAUCCUAGCUGACCUAGCUGGCCUGGAUUCUCUCACUUCACCUGUUUAUGUGAUGGCAGCAUAUUUUGAUUCUACACAUGAAAAUCCUGUGAGACCAUCCAGCAAGCUUUAUCAUUGUGCUCUACAGAUGACAAGUCAUGAUGGGGUGUGGACUUCAACUUCCAGUGAGCAGUGUCCCAUUAGACUGGUUGAGGGCCAGUCUCAAAAUGUGCUGCAGGUCCGGGUGGCUCCGACAUCGAUGCCUAACCUGGUUGGGGUCAGCUUGAUGUUGGAGGGGCAACAGUACAGGCUGGAGUAUUUUGGGGAUCAUUGAUACUCAGUAACUUAAGAGGAAAUUUUUUUGUUAAAAAUAAAGUUAUUUUUAAAAAA
rnacentral:tmRNA from 1 species